GAUGAACGCUGGCGGCGUGCCUAAUACAUGCAAGUCGAGCGAACUGAUUAGAAGCUUGCUUCUAUGACGUUAGCGGCGGACGGGUGAGUAACACGUGGGCAACCUGCCUGUAAGACUGGGAUAACUUCGGGAAACCGAAGCUAAUACCGGAUAGGAUCUUCUCCUUCAUGGGAGAUGAUUGAAAGAUGGUUUCGGCUAUCACUUACAGAUGGGCCCGCGGUGCAUUAGCUAGUUGGUGAGGUAACGGCUCACCAAGGCAACGAUGCAUAGCCGACCCGAGAGGUUGAUCGACCACACUGGGACUGAGACACGGCCCAGACUCCUACGGGAGGCAGCAGUAGGGAAUCUUCCGCAAUGGACGAAAGUCUGACGGAGCAACGCCGCGUGAGUGAUGAAGGCUUUCGGGUCGUAAAACUCUGUUGUUAGGGAAGAACAAGUAUGAGAGUAACUGCUCGUACCUUGACGGUACCUAACUAGAAAGCCACGGCUAACUCUGUGCCAGCAGCCGCCGUAAGAC
rnacentral:rRNA from 1 species